rnacentral:tRNA from 1 species
GGGCGAGUGGCGGAAUUGGUAGACGCACCACACUCAAAAUGUGGCUCCUGUGAGGGAAUAAGAGUUCGAUUCUCUUCUUGCCCA